rnacentral:rRNA from 1 species
GUAGGUGGCAAGCGUUGUCCGGAAUUAUUGGGCGUAAAGCGCGCGCAGGCGGUCCUUUAAGUCUGAUGUGAAGCCCACGGCUCAACCGUGGAGGGUCAUUGGAAACUGGGGGACUUGAGUACAGAAGAGGAAAGCGGAAUUCCACGUGUAGCGGUGAAAUGCGUAGAGAUGUGGAGGAACACCAGUGGCGAAGGCGGCUUUCUGGUCUGUAACUGACGCUGAGGCGCGAAAGCGUGGGGAGCAAACAGGAUUAGAUACCCUGGUAGUCACGCCGUAAACGAUGAGUGCUAAGUGUUAGGGGGUUUCCCGCCCCCUUAGUGCUGCAGCUAACGCAUUAAGCACUCCGCCUGGGGAUACGGCCGCAAGGCUG